rnacentral:rRNA from 1 species
ACGAGGGCUCAACUGUCUCCUACCCCCAGUCUUUUUUAUUGAUCUGCCCGUGCUUUAGCGGACAUAAAAACAUAAGACGAGAAGACCCUGUGGAGCUUAAGGUUAAGGCCAACCACGCCAAGCUCUUUCCAAAAGACACAAGCUCAACAGCCACUGGCCCCACAUGCCUUCGGUUGGGGCGACCGCGGAGAAAAACAAAACCUCCACGUGGACCAAGGACACAGUCCUCAAAACCAAGAGACACAACUCCAAGCAGCAGAAAAUCUGACCAAAAAGACCCAGGCCCAAACACGCCUGAUCAACGAACCAAGUUACCCCAGGGAUAACAGCGCAAUCCUUUCCAAGAGUCCAUAUCGACGAAAGGGUUUACGACCUCGAUGUUGGAUCAGGACAUCCUAAUGGUGCAGCCGCUAUUAAGGGUUCGUUUGUUCAACGAUUAAAGUCCUACGUGAUCUGAGUUCAGACCGGAUCGCCUGUUUAUCAAAAACAU